UACCUCUGGUGUACCAGUUGUCCUGCCAAGGGCAUGGCUGGGUAGCUAUGUACGGAAUGGAUAAGCGCUGAAAGCAUCUAAGCGCGAAGCCAACUUCAAGAUAAGAUUUCCCACCGCAAGGGUAAGACCCCAGAAAGACUAUCUGGUUGAUAGGUCGAAGGUGUAAGUGCAGCAAUGUAUUUAGCUUAUCGAUACUAAUAGGUCGAGGACUUGACCAA
rnacentral:rRNA from 1 species